rnacentral:rRNA from 1 species
CGACCUACGGGAGGCAGCAGUGGGGAAUAUUGCACAAUGGGGGAAACCCUGAUGCAGCGACGCCGCGUGAGUGAUGAAGUAUUUCGGUAUGUAAAGCUCUAUCAGCAGGGAAGAUAAUGACGGUACCUGACUAAGAAGCUCCGGCUAAAUACGUGCCAGCAGCCGCGGUAAUACGUAUGGAGCAAGCGUUAUCCGGAUUUACUGGGUGUAAAGGGUGCGUAGGUGGCAGGGCAAGUCAGAUGUGAAAGCCCGGGGCCCAACCCCGGUACUGCAUUUGAAACUGUCCGGCUGGAGUGCAGGAGAGG